rnacentral:rRNA from 1 species
UACAGAGGUCUCAAGCGUUGUUCGGAUUCAUUGGGCGUAAAGGGUGCGUAGGUGGCGCGAUAAGUCGGGUGUGAAAUCUCGGAGCUUAACUCCGAAAUUGCAUUCGAUACUGCCGUGCUCGAGGACUGGAGAGGAGACUGGAAUUCAUGGUGUAGCAGUGAAAUGCGUAGAUAUCGGGAGGAAUACCAGUGGCGAAGGCGGCCUUCUGGACGGAUACUGACGCUGAGGCGCGAAAGCCAGGGGAGCAAACGGG